ACAAUGUUCAAACCUUUAUAAGUCUUGCUUUAAAAUGCCCUAAUAGUAAGGCUUAAUGGUUAUAUUAAAAUAUGGUUCCAGUCAUUUUCCCAAAAAUGAAUUUUGAAAGAUGAAGGGAGCGAAUCACGGGGCUGUCAGUCCCUGAAUGGUGAGAACACACUGAGGGGCAAAGGAAAGCGCUGUGAAGGGGGAGUGACACUGAGCUAUGUGCUCCUCCAGGAGGCACGGAGGUGAGGAGGGCGAGGGCUGCCGUUAGGAAAAUUGGAUUCCGGCCCCGCUCUGCCAUUUCCUGCCCUCUUACACAUGUCAUUUAACCUCUCCUAACCUCAGUUUCCUCAUUUAUAAAAUGAGGGAAUUGUGUUGGAUGAUUUCUGAGGUGCCUUCUAGCUCAGAAAUCUAUAAAACUCUGUGAAACAUCGGCCUUUUCCCCACCGCAUAAUUGGUAGGAGGUGGUAAUGAAAUAAGGUCCAGAAUAUAAUUCGUCUUUCAAUGUACAUUUUCUCUGUCCUUCAGAUGAAAGUAGUCAAUGGGUUUUGUUUUUUCCCUCCUGUUACCCUGAUAAUAAGUGAGGAUAAAUUCCCUAUAAUGGAUGCCAUAGAGACCUUUAUAUUCUGGGAAAAACUGAGCUGGCCCAGAAAUGCCCAUUUGACAGAAUGCACUUCUAGUCAGAGACAGCAGAGGUGGGCACAGUGAAUGGACCAUAAGGUAGAUGGCAGUGAUCAGAGGUUUUGUUUUUGUUAUUUAAAAAACAAACAAACAAAAAAUAUAUCCUCUGUCAUUUGGAAUUUUGCAGUAUGUGGUAUUUCCUAUUUUAUCUGUCUCUGCCCACCUGUCCUUUCUAAAGCAUUUCAGCCCCACUAAUGUUUUCUAUUUCACACGUGCAGAGAAGAAAGAAGUCUGACCUGGUCCCUGCCGUCCCAGCAGACUCUUAAGUUCCCCUGAUUGUUUAAAACCCUUCGUUUGGGGUUAUGGAAAGAAUGAAAGCCAAAUGCUGGGUGAUCACUAUUUAAUGGUGUGACCUAGGAAGGUCAGGGCAACAGGAGAAAUAUAUCUUGAGCCACUACCACAUAUUUGGCCUCAUGCUCUGCAUUCCAUGUUCAAAGGUCAAGGCCCUACCUUGUAGAAGAUAAGAGUCUAAAGGGGAAAGAGUCAACAUGUUUGUGACUACAGUUCAAGUCCCACACCAGAAGGACAGACUAGACCUCUGAAAGUACGGAGCAGGGGCCAUUUAAUUUGGCAAAGAGUCAUUUGAGCUGGGCCUUAACUGGCAAAUAAGUGGAGUUCCCGUUAUGGUUCAGUGGUUAACGAAUCUGACUAGGAACCAUGAGGUUGAGGGUUCGAUCCCUGGCCUCCCUCAGUGGGUUAGGGAUCUGGCGUUGCUGUGAGCAGUGGUGUAGGUCACAGACACUCGAUCUGGCGUUGCUGUGGAUCUGGUGUAGGCUGGUGGCUACAGCUCUGAUUAGACCCCUGGCCUGGGAACCUCCAUAUGCCGCAAGUAGAAAAGGCAAAAAGACAAAAAAAACAAACAGAAAAAAAACAAGCCAAUAAGCAAUACCCAGGAUCUCCUUUUGCUAACAGUUUCUGAGUCUACUGUAGCAAGGAAAAUAAGACUUUGCGUAUGACUGCCCCAGAAGUGUGUGUGUGCGUGCGCGUGUGUGAAGAGCAAGGAGGUCAUCUGUGAAGGACAGAUGAAGAAAGACCCAGAAAGAGUAGAGCUGUUCUGGGAAUGUGGAAAAGUAAGGGAAUGGGGAACAAAGCAGGGAAAGAAAAGGCCUUGGAAGGAAGUAAUAAGGAGACAGAAUGGGGUAGCGGGCAGGGUGAAACAUAACUGCUGCGAGAGUACAUCUCCUUUCGUACAAGGUCCCUUGCCAUCUGUAAGCCUUCAUGAACAUGGCUGGUUUUGUCCUGGAGCCUUUGGCAAAGUCGAACAAACCUAGCCCCCUGCUGGGGUGAAGAUGAAUGGACAUGCAACUGGGAAGUAUUUCACAACCAGGUGUGAAUGGAUGGGGAAGGGAAAGAAAAUAUUUCUAUCAUGGAAUGAUUUACAGCAAAUUUAGACUAAGGCUCAGCCAAGUGGAGGUAUCAGCAGUAAGUCAUUGUGAAAGAACAAACACUAUUUUUUUCCCUUCCUGCAACGUGUAUGUUUAAAUCAAAUCAGCAAAUAUUUUUUAAUGAUAUCAUUGUUCCCAAAUGCUGUCAUUCCUUGAUUUAUUUACUUUCCUUCUAGUAGAGUCAGGCUGAGAACUGCGGAAGUCACAGGGUCAGGGAGAAAAGGACAUGGUGCUAAUGCUUGACUGUUAUUAUUUUCAGCUGAGGAGUAAAUUAAGAGUCUGCAUCUUCUCAGAUCCCAAAGGAUGCCCCACUAGACUGACAUUUUGGAGGUUAGAGUUGUCCCUGGGUUUAAGGAUGAAGAGUUUCCCUAAAGGUGUUACUCAAAUAUCAAUUAAUAGGUUAAUACCUGAAACCAUUAACAUGUGAAGUCAUUACUCAGAAAGAGUAAUUUUGCUGCGUGAUUGUGGAGGAAGAAUCAAGAUAAAAUAAUAUUCCAUUUUGACGCCUAAUUAGAUCGAAAAUGGGGAAUAGGCAUUAAUGACAGAGUCUGUUUCAUUAUUUUAAGUGUUGACCUGGGGUUGAGGAAAUAUUUACUAAGCCAUGAGUUUUCAGUGUCAUAGACUAUCUGAUAUUUUGCAAAUUGGGGUCUUGUGUUUCAGGUGCUAGAGAACUAAUGAUACUGUUUUUUUCAGCUUCUUGACAGUAGGUAGUUACAGUAGGUAGCUUGAGCUGCAGGGUGUCCUGAAGCCAUAUUAAUCAUAUGGUUUUAGCUUUAUUGUAUAUAUGGAAUUAAGGACUUAAAAUACAUGUUUUUUUCCUCCAAAUCACCAAGUGGAACAUUCAAGGUCCGUAACUGAGUUGUGAUGAUAAUGUGAAAGCAAAGGCAAAGAUAAAACCCUGAGCUCCCAGUUCCUGUCCAUCCAUUGUUUCCUGUAGAUUCCAGUUUCUGAAAUACUAAAGAGAGGAAUUCUAGAGAACGCCUCACCAGAGACAUCACAAUUCAUAGCGAAAUCAGAGUUUUCAAAGCUCUCUGACUGGCAAAUCCAUGCCUUCAUCCAUUUCCCCAGGCUUCAUCUCAGCCCUUGGAGCUGUCACAUUCAGAGUCUGUGUGGUUUCAUGCAGAGUGUGUGAUCACAGUACGGCAGGCAGGUUAAGGCCACCUAAGAAUAGAAGGGAGCAAGAGCAUGCACAUGUCCCAGAAGCAAAUUUUGAAAUUAAGAUGAAUAAGUAAAUGAGAACUGUGGGUGGUGGUUUUCUGUUUGUAAUAACCAACCUGAUAGUUAAUCAAUAAGCAAGUAUUUAUUUUGAAUAAGCCGCGUCCUCAAUAGCACGUAAGGCGCUAUCAAAAGGAAGAAUCAAAUAAUGAAAUGGAGCCACUCCUCGUGAAACUUCUGAUUCUAUCUUAAUGAAGCACUUUCUUAUCUUUGGUUCAAUGAAGUGUAAAAGAGCUACUUUCGCUGUAUCUCAGAAUUCUCAGAUAUUUUUACUGAUGAUAGGACACAAUUCAUGCUGGGUAGGCUCUGAUCUGUAUAAAAUGUAUGUUUUAUUUAAUAUAAAUAUAAAAAGAUAACUGAUGUGAAUGGCCCUUCCUGAAACAAGUCCAGGCAUAUUUACACACACCUGAUGUUGAGGAGGUGUCAGGAGUUAACUUCUGCCCAUCUACAUAGCAGUGACUUGAGGGAAAGGGGGUCUGUCAGCAUAAAGGGUGGGUCUGUCAGAUGACUCUGAUGGACUUUCAUAGAAAAUAAAGGACGUGAAGAGAAGUGGAGAUGGAGUCCUCUCUUCUCUGAAAUAUGCUGGUGCCCUUACAGGGGGAAAGCCUGCUCCCCUAAAGAGGGGAGGGACCAUUAAUGACCAUGUAGGAGAAAAUCAGAUCUUAGAAUAUUUCCCUGGUUAAUGGUAGACACUAUCUCAGUAGUUGCACCCUUAAUUAACUAGUCCUCAUGACAUGCUGUUCUUGGUACCAGAUGGUAGGUAUUCUGGAAAAGAAAAACUGGAAAGUAAAUGAUUUUUCAUAACUCUUGUCAACCUUCAGGUCAUUUUAGUAUGGUUCAGUUAUCAUUUAUCAUCUUCCUCACUUUAGGGAGGCUUAGCAUUGAUGCUCAGUCAAUAUGUUAUUCCCUAUAAAACUGUUGAAAGUAAAGCCAUAGUAUUCAAAGUGCUUAUUUUGCACAAAAUGAAUUAAUAUCUUGCACCUCAAGCUUGCUAAGUUUUAGCCUCUCUUAGGCAUUAAUGCUGUACUUCACUUUACAUAAUAUAUUCCUGAAAGUUAUGAGUAAAUAUUUUUUGGAUAUAUCAACUCACAUAAAUAAAUACACGGUAAGAGUUGGCUGUUUAAAAUGGUUCCGUCUAAUUCAACAACUUUUCCUAAGAAUCAGUUUCAUUGCAGGCAUUGAACUAGGCGCUGUGGGUGUACAGAUGACUGUAACUUGUUUGCUGUCAUCAAAAAAUCUGAGCGUUUACUGUAGGAGAGAGAGGCAUUGAUACCAGAUGUCCAUAUCAUAUGCUGAGUGCAAAGAGAUAAGCCUAGGAUACUGUGAGAAAGCAAAGGAGGAGGAACUUGUUUACCCCAUGGAGGUCAGUAACAGCGCCUGGAAGAAAAAGAAAUGGCCAAACUGAGCUUUGAAAAAAGAAUGAAGAUU
rnacentral:lncRNA from 1 species